rnacentral:rRNA from 1 species
AUUGAACGCUGGCGGAAUGCUUUACACAUGCAAGUCGAGCGGCAGCGCGGGGCAACCUGGCGGCGAGCGGCGAACGGGUGAGUAACAUAUCGGAACGUACCCAUUGGUGGGGGAUAACACAUCGAAAGAUGUGCUAAUACCGCAUACGACCUGAGGGUGAAAGGGGGGGAUCGCAAGACCUCUCGCCGUUGGAGCGGCCGAUAUCGGAUUAGCUAGUUGGUGAGGUAAAGGCUCACCAAGGCGACGAUCCGUAGCUGGUCUGAGAGGACGACCAGCCACAUUGGAACUGAGACACGGUCCAGACUCCUACGGGAGGCAGCAGUGGGGAAUUUUGGACAAUGGGGGCAACCCUGAUCCAGCCAUUCCGCGUGAGGGAAGAAGGCCUUCGGGUUGUAAACCUCUUUCGGCAGGAACGAAAAGGUGGGGGCUAAUACCCUUUAUCAAUGACGGUACCUGAAGAAGAAGCACCGGCUAACUACGUGCCAGCCGCCGCCGUAA